rnacentral:lncRNA from 1 species
GCUAAAAAUUCCUCUUGAAGCCACACUCUGGGUGUGUGGAAAGGAUAAUUUUCCCAGAAAAUAAGGGGAAUCUAUAUAUAAAUCAUAAUACCUUCCUGUUCCCUUUAGCUAAGCCAAUCCCCAGGUGCCACACUGAUGGGGGAAAUGGAAGGAGAAUUGUCAGAUCCCAGAUGUGAAGUGAAAGUUAGUGGCAGUAUUUUUCUUUGUAUUCUCUGGUUUGAUUCCCAGCUCUCUGCUGUGGGGUUUGUUAUCCAGUAUUACGAGCUGAUUGUGGCCGUGAAUCUUUGGGGAUUCAUGAUAUUUUUAUGAUAACGUGUUCUAGGUAAAGCACAGUAUUAAGGAAUCUAAAAGUCUGUAUGAAAGCUGUACACAUCAAAAGGAUUCCAGUUCGGUGACUUCUGUUAAUGACUGUGGGAUGUUAAACAAGUUGGAGUAUUUUUUUUUUCUUCUUUUUUU